AACGAACGCUGGCGGCAUGCCUAACACAUGCAAGUCGAACGAGACCUUCGGGUCUAGUGGCGCACGGGUGCGUAACGCGUGGGAACCUGCCCUUAGGUUCGGAAUAACUCCCCGAAAGGGGUGCUAAUACCGGAUAAUGUCUUCGGACCAAAGAUUUAUCGCCUUUGGAUGGGCCCGCGUUGGAUUAGCUAGUUGGUAGGGUAAAAGCCUACCAAGGCGACGAUCCAUAGCUGGUCUGGGAGGAUGAUCAGCCACACUGGGACUGAGACACGGCCCAGACUCCUACGGGAGGCAGCAGUGGGUAAUAUUGGACAAUGGGCGAAAGCCUGAUCCAGCAGUGCCGCGUGAGUGAUGAAGCCCUUAGGGUUGUAAAGCUCUUUUACCCGGGAUGAUAAUGACAGUACCGGGAAAAUAAGCUCCGGCUAACUCCGUG
rnacentral:rRNA from 1 species